GACAGAGGGUGCAAACGUUGUUCGGAUUUACUGGGCGUAAAGCGCGUGUAGGCGGCUUCGUAAGUUGGAUGUGAAAUCCCACGGCUCAACCGUGGACGUGCAUCCAAAACUACGUCGCUGGAGUCUCGGAGAGGAAGGUGGAAUGCUUGGUGUAGAGGUGAAAUUCGUAGAUAUCAAGCAGAACACCUGCGGCGAAGGCGGCCUUCUGGACGAUGACUGACGCUGAGACGCGAAAGCGUGGGGAGCAAGCAGG
rnacentral:rRNA from 1 species